UACGGCCAUAUCUCGUUGAAACACCUGUCCUCGUACGAUUACUGAAGUUAAGCAACGUUGAGCCUGGUCAAUAGCUAGAUGGAUGAUCUCUUGAGAAUACGAGUUAUUGUA